AUAGGUAAAGGGUGUAUGAUUCAUGAGUUGUGAUAACAUGCUAUUUUGGGAUUAUACCAUUGUGAUUGAGACCGAUUAUAUGUGAUAAAUUGAGUAUGUAUUGACUCGUAAUAUAUUAGUGCAUUAAGAUGUUGUGUGCAUUGAGUUGUGAGCUAUGAAUUAUACAAUCACACGACUAUAAGAUCCUUUAAGGGCGACGAGUUAAUGCUAAAACCCUUUAAGGGCGACGAGUUAAUGCUAAAACCCUUUAAGGGCGACAAGUUAAUGCGCGACGAGUAUUGUGAUGGGAAUCACUGUGGGGGGCCCGAUGAGUUUAAUCACAAGUGCGACGAGAUAAAACUAUUUUGAGAACAAUUGAGGAGUCGUGUGUUUUGUACAGUUCAUAGAUAGAGUCUGUAUGCUAAAAUGUUUUCUGGGUUGGACCUGAAUCAGGAGGGAGAGGCCUUGACGGACUCUUCGGAGUGUAGGCCUUGGGGUAAAUACACCCGGUUUGAGUGCUCCUUUAAGUCUAUGUUGAUCCCAUAUGGUUGAAGCAUUCUCGCAAAACAGCAUGACCCUGACUGGUCUCCCUAUAAUUACAUAGUGAGAGUGACCUGACUUAUUAGUGUGUGGUUUAUCUUGUCAUGUACUCCUAGGCGCCCGACGAGAUUUUUCACUGACAUGAUACCACAUUGCAUAUAGGAUUGAGUCUUAGUGUAUCUGUUGCAUAACGUUUGU
rnacentral:lncRNA from 1 species